AUUGAACGCUGGCGGCAGGCCUAACACAUGCAAGUCGGACGGUAGCACAGAGGAGCUUGCUCCUCGGGUGACAAGUGGCGGACGGGUGAGUAAUGUCUGGGGAUCUGCCCGAUAGAGGGGGAUAACCACUGGAAACGGUGGCUAAUACCGCAUAACGUCGCAAGACCAAAGAGGGGGACCUUCGGGCCUCUCACUAUCGGAUGAACCCAGAUGGGAUUAGCUAGUAGGCGGGGUAAUGGCCCACCUAGGCGACGAUCCCUAGCUGGUCUGAGAGGAUGACCAGCCACACUGGAACUGAGACACGGUCCAGACUCCUACGGGAGGCAGCAGUGGGGAAUAUUGCACAAUGGGCGCAAGCCUGAUGCAGCCAGGCCGCGUGUAUGAAGAAGGCCUUCGGGUUGUAAAGUACUUUCAGCGGGGAGGAAGGCGGUGAGGUUAAUAACCUCGCCGAUUGACGUUACCCGCAGAAGAAGCACCGGCUAACUCCGUGCCAGCAGCAGCCGCAG
rnacentral:rRNA from 1 species